GACCCCAUCUUCACUUUGCCACCAGGGCUGUAUAUGUCUUGAGUGGUUAUUCACGUGGGGGAAAGUAUUUUAUCCUCAAGCACCCCAGUCAAAUUCUUGUUUGACGUGGGGUUGUUCUGAGGAAACAGCA
rnacentral:snoRNA from 1 species